rnacentral:lncRNA from 1 species
AAUCUAAGGCCACUUCGUUGUUUUUUUGUUUGUUUGUUUUAUUUUGUUUUGAGACAGAGUCUCACUCUGUUGCCCAGGCUGGAGUACAGUGGCAUGAUCAGAGCUCACUGCAUCCUCAACCUCCCUGAUAUUUAAUUGACCUGCACUUUGGGUCCUCCAACGCACACAGAGACACUGCAUUGUAGCAAGAUUUGACUUUCUCUUGGGAAAUUAUAGUUUUCUUCUCUUUGGUUAUAU